rnacentral:lncRNA from 1 species
UCUAAAUGUGAUAUGAAUAGGGACUUGCCCUUAACUUUCAUUCUUGUUAGAAACAUAUAUUCAAAAUAAAUAAUUAUUCUCCUUUUUAAAAAUUGUCGUCCAGGUUGCAAAAAUAUCUGCCUCUGAGAGCUCAGGAGGAUCUGCUUUGUGGGAGCAAAGGUAGUGAGUCAUACCUGGAAGCUUGCGCCUCUUCAUCCAGUCAAGUCUCCUAGGCAACAGUUUAUGCAGCACUUAAAAGAUGAGGAGUUAAGAGGGUAGCAGCUGCCUUGAGCUCAUCAGGAAGAGGUCACUAGCUGCCAGAG